GGAUGAGCCUUCCAAAUAUGGUGUGGUGGUCAUGGAAGAAUCUACAGGGAAAGUUGAGAAGUUCGUGGAGAAACCAAAACUAUUUGUGGGUAAUAAAAUCAAUGCGGGAAUUUACCUGUUAAACCCCUCUGUUCUGGACCGAAUCGAACUGAGGCCAACAUCCAUUGAGAAAGAAGUGUUCCCUAGCAUUGCUGCAGAGCAAAAGCUUUAUGCAAUGGUACUGCCAGGGUUUUGGAUGGAUAUUGGACAGCCAAAAGAUUAUAUUACAGGACUAAGACUUUACCUUAACUCCUUGAGGAAGAACUCUUCAUCAAUGUUAGCCGUUGGGUCUCACAUUGUAGGGAAUGUUCUGGUGGACGAGACUGCUAAGAUUGGUGAAGGAUGUCUGAUCGGUCCGGACGUUGCCAUUGGUCCUGGUUGUGUUGUUGAGUCAGGAGUUCGGCUAUCUCGAUGUACUGUAAUGCGUGGAGUGCGCAUCAAGAAGCAUGCUUGCAUAUCGAGCAGUAUCAUAGGCUGGCACUCUACCGUCGGGCAAUGGGCACGUGUAGAGAAUAUGACAAUACUAGGAGAAGACGUUCAUGUGGGUGAUGAAAUUUACAGUAAUGGUGGAGUUGUGCUGCCGCACAAAGAAAUCAAAUCUAGCAUUUUGAAGCCCGAAAUAGUGAUGUAAAGGUGUGUAUUUGCAAAUUAGUGGAAUCCCUUUUUGAGAGCAUUGUCUUAACGUUGUCGUGAUUGAAUUUUACUAGUUUCUUUUUCUUCCUCUUCAUGGGGCGCAGCAUAAUGUCAGUGUCUGCUAGUUAAGUUCUGUGAGUGAAGGUUCAAUCUCCUUUGCAAGGACGUUUCUUG
rnacentral:misc_RNA from 1 species